rnacentral:lncRNA from 1 species
CGGCAACUGACAUCUAGAUAGUUUCUAAGCAACAAAUGUACUAUAUUAAUGUUUUCAUUAGAAGAAUAAGCAAUUUUCUCCACAGUUAAAAAUUAAAAGUCACUCCAGCUCAAAUUACUUGUUUCUGCUAUUUUGUCUCCUUCAUUGAACUCAAAGUUAAAUCAGCAGAUUUAAACAAAACAAUUAAAAAGCAAGAUUGGUGUUUUUUUUCAUGACCAUGACCAUUACAAAGGGGCCAACAAAUGCUAACACCUCUGGGAACUCCUUCAAGACUGAAAACCAUUUCAGGUGACUACCUCAUGAAGCUCAUCAGAAUGCCAAGAGUGUGCAAAACAGUUAUCAGGGCAAAGGGUGGCUAUUUUGAAGAAAAUAGAAUAUAAAACAUGUUUUCAGUUAUUUCACCUUUUUUGGUUAAGUACGUAACUCCACAUGUGUUAGUUCAUAGUUUUGGUGCCUUCGGUGAGAAUCUACCAAAUGGUCAUGAAGAAAACAAAGUCACGUUAAAUUAAAAGUAGUGGCCCUUUUUUUCUUUCAUCCACAUUUUUACAAGUUAAAAAUAAUUUCAUAGUAUUUUGGUGUGAAUCAGCCAGUGUCACCUGAAGCCAGCAGCAGCGCUGCUCUGGUGCCUUCUGCUCCUCCAGCUGACUUCAUCCGGCCACCAGAGCGCGUCCCUGCGCCGCGCCUCGGACAGGAGGAGGGGGAUGCCUGCUAGCUGAGCACACAGACCCACUCCCCGUUUUCCUGUGCAAGAAAAAAAGAACAGAGAAACUGUCAAGAGGAACCAGACUGUGUGUUUUCAAGCCCAUGCGCUGCGAGCUUUCUCCUCCACCUCCCCUGGUCUCAGGACUCUCCCAGGAUGCGGUCCAACCGCCCGCACGUCGCAGGCCGGAUGCUUUCGCUCUCCUUCCUAAUCUUCCACUUUGCAAUCAGCAGCUCAAGAAAAGAUUCAGAGGUAAGAAAACCCCAUUUUCUUUUUUUUCUGUGUUAAAAUUGAUGUCUUUUGAUUUACUUUCCGUUUUGUUUUUCUGAUCCGGAAAAGUACAAAGGCUUUAAAAAUGUACGUCGUUUUUUUAUGACUGAAAGGCUGGAAUUUUGAUGUGGUCAGCAGAACAAGUCCGGUUGCUUUUAAGUUUUGAGCUGAGGUGAUUUUCUUGCUGCCGCCGUUGCUACUAGAUAAAUAACUAGCACGGUCAGUUGUUCUACUCACUGGUGUGAAAAGAUGUUGACGGUAAACCUCCUGGCAGAUGUGCUUACCGUCAAAAAAAAAAAGGAAAUUACUGCCCCCCCCCUACUGAUGUCAUCUAUUCAUCUCCAGGCUGGGGAAGUUUUUCUUUUGAGUUCUGCCACUUUUUGUUGUAAAAGGUGGAAAAAUCAUCUUCAUAUUGAUGAAAUGGUAUAUAGAUCCCCUACUGCAUUAUAGUGCUUGUGCUGAAAUGUUUCAGAUCAGUAAACAAGGGCAAACCACCCAAAAAAUCUGGUCCUAUAUGUAGCGUAGUUAAUCUACAUAACUAGAAUUUAACGCUGUUGCUAUGCAGCUUUGCUAAAUUCUGAGAAAGAUCAAACGAAUUGGCAAAUGAAACAUAUCAUAUAUAAAUAUCCACGGAUAUUUAUAUAAUCUAUAGAAGUUCAUACACCAACUGGCUUGGUCUAUAUUUAAUCAAAAGAUUAAUAUUUAAUUUAAGAGAUUUAAAUUAAUAGCAAAAGUUUAUUUAUUAAUUCAGGAGAUUUAAAGAGAUUUUUGCUCGUUCAGUGAUCAAUAUACACCACUCUGUGUUUUAUUUCAAAGAAGAGUCAGGUUUAAAAAGUUAAGAAUUUAUUACUAACAAUUUAAAGAUGACCAUUUAAAAAAGCUUUGAUAUUAAAAACUUGGUAUUAAAGCAAUCUGUGUCUGGGUGAAAACUAAAAAUGAAAUGUGUGUGUGUUUGGACUCUCAAGAACUCAGAACAGGUAAAGCACCACAAAUCUGAUUAAGUUAUGAUUGAGGUCAGAGGUCAUUCAGCAAGGUAAGACAUGGAAGAAAACAUGACUUUUAUGGGAUCGUUCCAAAGCCAAAACCUCUGCUGACUGGUCUAUGCACGUGCUUGAAGAUAUUCUGUGGACUGACUCAACAAAAGUGGAACUUUAGAAAGUGUGUGUCCCGUUCCAUCUGGAGUAAAACUAAUGUUGCAUUUCAGAAUAGGAACAUCACACUUACAGUAAAACAUGGUGGUGGUAGUGUAAUGGUCUGGGGCUGCUCUGCUGCUUUAGGACUUGGAACACUCGCUUUAACUGAUCCAUGAAUGCUGCUCUGUAACAAAAGAGCUAGAUCAAAUUCCUCCACAAUGAUGUGAGACUCGUUACCAAUUAUGAAAAACACCUCGUGGUAGUUGUUACUAACCCCUCCUUUCUACCGGAGCUGUCAGCAGCACGUUACUGCAGCAGCACGUCUUGCUCGCGUAAGCUGCUGCUUGGCCCUUCCCACCAGAGACACGUAGCAGCAGGGGAGCAGCGGUCACCGACAGAGCACGAAGUCACAUGAGUGACUUCGUCAGUAAACACACAACAACAAGCAGGAGAAAACUACAACAUGGCUCCAAAAGGUUUGUGUUUUAUGUUCUGUCCAUUUUAUAAUCGCCAAUACGGACCUGAAAAACAAAGGAGACCGCUAGCUAGGUGAUAACUUCUCACGGGGCCGCACAGUUAGUAACUUUUUUUUAAAGUAAAGCAACCGGAAGGCAGUACGUUUCUUUAUUCUGAAAAUCUC